GACGAACGCUGGCGGCGUGCCUAAUACAUGCAAGUAGAACGCUGUAGAGAGGAGCUUGCUCUUCUUGGAUGAGUUGCGAACGGGUGAGUAACGCGUAGGUAACCUGCCUUGUAGCGGGGGAUAACUAUUGGAAACGAUAGCUAAUACCGCAUAACAAUGGAUGACACAUGUCAUUUAUUUGAAAGGGGCAAUUGCUCCACUACAAGAUGGACCUGCGUUGUAUUAGCUAGUAGGUGAGGUAAUGGCUCACCUAGGCGACGAUACAUAGCCGACCUGAGAGGGUGAUCGGCCACACUGGGACUGAGACACGGCCCAGACUCCUACGGGAGGCAGCAGUAGGGAAUCUUCGGCAAUGGGGGCAACCCUGACCGAGCAACGCCGCGUGAGUGAAGAAGGUUUUCGGAUCGUAAAGCUCUGUUGUAAGUCAAGAACGGGUGUGAGAGUGGAAAGUUCACACUGUGACGGUAGCUUACCAGAAAGGGACGGCUAACUACGUG
rnacentral:rRNA from 1 species